AGACGAAGAAUGGCGUAGUAAUCGACGAAAUGCUUCAGAGAGUUGAAAAUAAGCAUAGAUCCGGAGAUUCCCGAAUAGGGCAACCUUUUCGAACUGCUGCUGAAUCCAUGGGCAGGCAAGAGACAUAGCGAAUUGCAAUAUCUUAGUAACAAAGGAAAAGAAAUCAAAAGUGAUUCCCGUAGUAGCUGCGAGCGAAAUGGGAGCAUCCUAAACCGUGAAAACGGGGUUGUGGGAGAGCAAUACAAGUGUCGGCCUGCUAGGAUCAAAUAUGCAGUAUUACAGACAAAAGUAUUCGGUUAUUGGGAAAAAUCAAUAUACUAAUAAUGUCAAAUUAGGAUCAACU
rnacentral:ncRNA from 1 species